rnacentral:rRNA from 1 species
CGUGCCCUUCUCUACGGAAUAGCCCCGGGAAACUGGGAGUAAUACCGUAUACGCCCUUUGGGGGAAAGAUUUAUCGGAGAAGGAUCGGCCCGCGUUGGAUUAGGUAGUUGGUGGGGUAAUGGCCCACCAAGCCGACGAUCCAUAGCUGGUUUGAGAGGAUGAUCAGCCACACUGGGACUGAGACACGGCCCAGACUCCUACGGGAGGCAGCAGUGGGGAAUCUUAGACAAUGGGGGCAACCCUGAUCUAGCCAUGCCGCGUGAGUGAUGAAGGCCUUAGGGUUGUAAAGCUCUUUCAGCUGGGAAGAUAAUGACGGUACCAGCAGAAGAAGCCCCGGCUAACUCCGUGCCAGCAGCCGCGGUAAUACGGAGGGGGCUAGCGUUGUUCGGAAUUACUGGGCGUAAAGCGCACGUAGGCGGACUGGAAAGUCAGAGGUGAAAUCCCAGGGCUCAACCUUGGAACUGCCUUUGAAACUAUCAGUCUGGAGUUCGAGAGAGGUGAGUGGAAUUCCGAGUGUAGAGGUGAAAUUCGUAGAUUUCGGAGGAACACCGGUGGCGAAGGCGGCUCACUGGCUCGAUACUGACGCUGAGGUGCGAAAGCGUGGG